UUUCACAGUGAAAUUUUCAUUCUUGUUCAAUUUUUAAAUGUUUGUCAACCUUUACCAUUUAUAAAUCAUCAAUCAUUAAUUUAACGAUUUAGUUCAACAUUAGUUUCACUUGUUUCAUUCAAUUGUAACCUUCCACAAUAAACCAAUACAUGAAAAUGCUUUCAAACAAAAUCAAAAUGUUUAUGAAUAUCAAACAAGUAAAUACAUCUACAUAACCAGGUUAUUAUGAACAUUUGUCCACAUCGAUGUUACAUUGAAUUUCAACCCGAAUUUGGUUUUGCAUGAAAAAUGGACAAUAUUAUCAACAAUGAAUGUGUAGUUUAACAGGUUACAAAAAUAUAUUAACCAGUAAAAUAUGUAUUGUUGUCCAGUUGGCUUUUUUUAUUUGCAUCUUUGGACAUUUACAUAGCUUUUUACAUGGAAUCCAAUGUAGCGUGAAAAAUUGUUUACCUUUUUUCGCUAACUCCAAAAAUGGUUUCUGUUUAUGAAUUAUUAUUGAAAUGAGCAGUGAGAAAUUAUGAUUAGUAUAUUGCUACCAAUGUUAUUGUUACAUUUUUAUGUCCACGAGUCACUGAGGUUUUUGUUGAAUUAACUUUACAUUUGUUGUGUUUGGUGAAUGAAGCAAAUUAUAAAUCAAAAUUAUAUGAUCAUGUGUAUAUUGAUUAAUGAAUUAUGAUCAUUUGGUCAUAUCCAAGUGUAAACAAUCUCGAUUGUCCGAUAUUGUACAUUCAGUAAAAAGUUGAGUUGCAACUUCAAUACAAUAAACUUUGUCUCUAUUGUAUUGCAUUUUAUUAAAAUGAUAAUGAUAAAAAUUUCUGAAUCAAAAUUGAAAUGAUUAUUAAAUGUAAAAAAUAUUUAGCAAAUGUAAAUCUAUUCUGAGCAAAGAAUUACAAAUCUUAAUUAGCAAAUCUUCCCUUGACAUUGUCGUUUGUCAGCUAUCGUCUGCAUCUCUUAAAGUCUUACUUUCCCUUUUGAACUUCAACUAGGCAUCAGUUUCAGUUAUAAUUGCUCUUGACUUUAGACAUUUUAGACUAAAUUGUUCAGUAUAUCUGAUUGUCGAAUGUGAUCUGCUGUGUUUUAAAUUGUUUCCUUCAUGUGUUGUAAAGUUAAACGGUUUGCAUUUAAAGUCGUCAUCUUUGGGUUGUAAAAGGAUUAUAUCUCCCAUCUACUUGGUUUUAUUGACUAUUGACUUUCUACCUGUUGCUUAACCUUUUUCCAUUCCAUGUUAUAAGCUUUGAAAUAAUUGUGUCUCACUAACGAGUAAUCUUCAAUGUUCAAGAAAAGCCCGACUGAAAUGCGCUGAGAGAUGAUUUUAUUAAUACAUGAACAAGUUUGCUUUGGUCAAAAUAUAUAGUUUCAUGUUGUAUCUAUUGCAUGGAAUGGCAAUGAAAACGAGGCAAUGUUGAAACAAUUGAUACAUUGAUUGGAAAAUAGCGAAAUAUCACUUUUCUUCACAUUUAAAGUUGGACCACCAUGACCAUCUAUUUUACCUGAAACCUAAAGACGAUAUCUAAAUGUGCGGGAGUAAAUAAGGAUGGUGAUGAUGAAGCAGAAGAAGAAGUAGAAGGAGAUAAGAAUUGAUAAAGUGUAAAGUGAAUUGAGCGACUAUUUAUUGGUUUCUUCUUUCUCUCCACUGGAAUAUGUGAGAAGGUCAAUGAAGCAUAGAAGUAGCAAUGAAGAUGAUGAUAAUGAUGAUGGAAAGAGAAGUAUUUGACUACAAAAAGACGCGUUCAACUAUGAAGUUGUAUUGAAUAGCAUUUUGUUUAUCCGAUUUUGUCAAGGUAAAGAAGGAAAGCCAAAAAAAUGUCUCCAAGCCGUUCCCUGUUUUAACAGGUAAACUUAGCGAUUUCUGGUUCAACUUUGAUAUGAUUUAUACAUUCACCAGUGAGCGUUAUAUUCCUCUCUAUCUUGGAUUCAAAUUUUUUUACUUCUUUACUCAAAAAAAAGUGAAGCAAAGUAGAGUAAUUUAAUUGUAAUGAUGAUGGACCAUACAAGUAAAGCUGAUGCAGAAACGGUAAAUGCAGUGAGAAGAUAAACUUGAACUAAACCAAAUUUAGAGUUGGCGGAGAUAUUUAUUAUUGUUUUGCCUUGUUGUCAACUGAUCCGUUUUAAUCCGCUAAACGAUGACCGAAUUAACGAAAUGAAUAGACCAAUGGAUAAUCCGAUAUAAAAAAAGUUUAACCUUUCAACUUGCGAUCAAAACAAUAUUCAAUCAGAAAAGGUCACAUGAAAGGAGCCAAGUAACCAGACCCUUCCGUUGAUAAACCUCCACAUCAUUCAACCUCAUUGGACCGGAUACAUUGAUCAAAUAAUUAAUAAUCGUGUGGCUUUUCCUCAUCCCAGGUUGUUCAUCUUGUUACCUUUCAUUGGCCUUUAUUGGGUAUUAUUUCAUUAUUAUACCUUUCAUCGAUAUCAUUAUCCUCAUCAAAGGCAACAUCAACAUCGACAUCAUCAUCAGGAGUUAAUAAAGUUGACUGUCAAAAAAAGCAAAAGGAAAAAAGAUUAACUAAAAAUUAACUUCCGAGAAUAAUAUAAUUCGUAUUUAGUUAAAUGUUGAACCCUCCCAGUGUUGAUAAACUUGUAAAAAAAGCGCUAAACGUAAUGAAAAUGAUAAUGAAACGGAAAUCACGUUGAAAUGGGCUAAUCAAUGGGCUCAUGCCAAACGGGUUCCGUUGAUCAUUACAAUAGCUCUUUAGGUCAAUGGGCAUUUACUUUAAUGUUAAAUUAAUUUGAUUCUGUUAACAUUAGCCGAUUAAUUUUUCGCACUUUGAUUCAAUUUGGACCGGGCAAAGUUGCACUAUUUCUGUGCCAACUUGACCAAUCAAAUUGAAUAAAAUGCAGAUUCAUACAAUAUCGCAUUCUUAUUAUUAAAUAUACGAAACAUUUUGAUAAUAAUGAUUGCAUGAGCUUAAAUAAUUUGUUAACUGGUUUAGAUUUAGGUUAUUUUUAUCUGUAAACUUAAUCGGUUAAUGAUGAAUUUUUGUUCCUCAAAUGAUUACACUUUUGCCUAAAUAUUGCAUUAUUUUUCUUCCUAAGCCUUUCAACAUUUAACCAAACGAUCAAUUAACCUGUUGCUAAUCAAAUAAAUGAAUAGUUUAAUUGCACGUUGAUGAUCAAUAACCAUCAACACAAUUGAACGCUUCAUGAUAGUUGACUGGUUCAAUGUUAAACAAACACACAAGUUUCAAAUUAAAAAUGUAUCUUGAAAGGUUUACAAUUAUGAUAAUAAUGAUGGUGAAAAAAAUCAUUUUUAAUAAGUUGAAUUUCUUCUCAUUUGUUGAAUAACAGAGAAAAGGAGAAAGAAAUAUAAUAAACUAAUUAAAAUGAACAUAUUAUUAUUAUUAUAGAUUGUAUUAUUAAACUUGUCAAGAUAAUUUGUUGUUUGGUUAUUAUUUUGUUGAAUGUAUAUUUAUAUGAUUAAAAAAGAAACAAAAGAAAAGGUAAACUCAGGUAAAGUAAUGAAACAAAUUGAUGUUAAAUCAAGUUCAACAACAAGAAGAAACAGCCAAAAAGAUCAUUAUGAUAUUUAUAAAG